CCUCCCGCUGCCAGCCCCCCGCGGGGGCUCGGCCGGGCCGCACGCACACGCCGGCAACAGGUCGCUAUUCCCCCGGCCGUCACAACUUUCCCCCCCGCGCCCUCGGCGCCGGGGCCUGCUCGGGGGCCGGGGGCCCCGCGGCCCCCCCCCGGGUCGGGCUCGGGCGCUGCGGGCCGGGCUCGGAGCCGCCGCGGCUGCCGCAGGGCCCGCGGGAGGGCAAGGAAAGGCCGGGGGGGCGCUGCGGGAGCCCCCGGCCCAGUGCCGAGCGGCCGGAGGGGGCGAGCCCGGGCGGCGCUGCGGGGCCUCGCUGCUCGCAGCCGGGGCCUCGCCGAGGGGCGCGUUCCACCCCCGCCCCCCCCAGCGCCUUCCUCAUCCUCAGGCAGCGGGGCCGGGAGCUGGGUGGCGGCCCCUGGGGGGUGCGUGCUGAGUGCUAGGGGCGGGGGGAGCGGCCCCCCGAGCAGCAGCCAGCCGGGCAGCCCCGGAGCCAGGUCGGCGCUUCCCCGCAGCGCCAGAAGGAGCGAGCGGAGGAGGGAGGAGGGAGCAGCAGCAGCAGCAGCGCGGAGCCCCGCUUACCUCUGUCUGCGAGCCGAAGGCGGGCCGGGAGCUCUCGCCCCGCGACCUGAUUUACAUCUCCCCGGAUGACAUUCCGGCCUCCGGCACGGCUCGACUCGACUCGGCUCCGCGUUAUUUCCCCUCGUCCUCUGGGUGCUCCUGCCCCGCCGGCGGCCGGAGAGCAGGCGCUGAGCGAGUAAGGCGCGCAGCGAUGGGAAAAACGCAAUACAUACACACCAGGAAAAAAAAAAAAAAAUCCCAAUGAAUCGUAUCGCAGCCUCCUUUUUGCUCAUGCACCUCUCCGUGUGUGACUGGGGAUUGCGAAGUCCUGACACGGACUCUCCGCCGGCGCUGAACUGGAGUCACCUCCAGCCUCCUCCCCCUCCAAUCUCCACCCCCUCUCUCCGCGCUCCCCACCCCUGGGCUCAGCUAAUCAUAUAAACAUAU